UCAUAAGCCAAAUUAAAAAGGGAUUUCAAAACCCUAGAAGGAUGGAAUUCUUCAGCUAUAAAAGAGCAACCUCCAAACCAGCAAGGGGCAUCUUCUGAUCAGCUACUCAGCAUCUUCUCCCCUCGCCAGAAACUCUGCAGCUUCUUUCUUUCCUUUCUUUUCAUCUUUUGUGUAUUUAGUCCACCAUGAGUGGCUAAUUUCCUUCUUUUCUAGUUGAAGUUGGUGAAUUUUAGAUUUUGUGAUGAAUUGGGAGAUUUAAAUCUCCAUUGUUAAACUUCUAUUUAUUUUCAAUAUUUAUGCAAUUUGAUCUUUCCAUAAUUGUUGCUUUGCUUUUAGAAUCAAUAAGGGCCCAUUGCUUUUAAAUUGCUUAAGUA
rnacentral:lncRNA from 1 species